CACGGAGUUAGCCGGUGCUUAUUCGUUAGAUACCGUCAUUAUCUUCUCUAACAAAAGGAGUUUACAAUCCGAAAACCUUCAUCCUCCACGCGGCGUUGCUGCUUCAGGGUUUCCCCCAUUGAGCAAUAUUCCCUACUGCUGCCCCCCGUAGGAGUCUGGACCGUGUCUCAGUUCCAGUGUGUCCGUUCACCCUCUCAGGCCGGAUACCCGUCAUAGCCUUGGUGAGCCAUUACCUCACCAACAAGCUGAUAGGACAUAGACCAAUCCUUUAGCGAAAAAACUUUCCCUCGUAAGGAGUAUCCAGUAUUAAUCAUCGUUUCCAAUGGCUAUCCUAGACUAAAGGGCAUGUUAUCUAUGCAUUACUCACCCGUGCGCCACUAAUCCACUCUAGCAAGCUAGAGCUUCAUCGUUCGACUUGCAUGUAUUAGGCACGCCGCCAGCGUUCACUCUGAGCCAGGAUCAAAACUC
rnacentral:rRNA from 1 species